rnacentral:lncRNA from 1 species
GUCUGUUAAAAUCUGGAUGUGUUGUGCAGAUAUAUCAGGGGAUGCAAAAAACAGUUGGUUGACACCUGCAGCAUCUGGAGUUGCUAGGAUAACUUUUCCUGGAGUGGAAUCUUGUCUGGCAAGGAUCACCUUGCUUGGGGUAGAGCCAUCAUGAUUUGUUAGGAUGAACUGCUUGCCUGCUGAGCUCUGAUCAAGUGCUGUAACAAUCUGAAUCUUCUGGCCCGUCUGCUGAUCUGUGACAAUCUGUAUACGCUGCGGUAAAGAGAGGCCUGAAUCUGAAGGGACGAUCUGUAUUCGUUGUGCUGCCCCAUCCAUUAGUGUUUGUGUAACAGCUC